GUAAGCAGAGAACAACAGAAGCACAAUCUGAAGCUGCUGCAGAGGCUGAAAUAGAUAAGCUGCAGAAAGAGUUAGAACAGGAGAUCCAGAGAGAACAACUGCUUAGAGAAGAACUUAGAGUUAUAACCGAUGAGAUCAAUGAUUUAGAUCGCCAAAGAGACUCUAUUGAGGAGCACAGGAAAUUGCUCAAGAAAAUUGAGCAAGAUCAUCUUCGAGCUGAGAUGAAGCUAUCACUGUAUGCUUCUGUCACAAGUAUCAUCCCGGACUUGGAUGAUCAAUCCAAAAUAUCAGGCCAUAUUGUGGAGAGAGAUAAGAAGGUGGUUGAAAAUUUCGAGUUUGAUUCAUCAAAUCAAACUGCCUUUGACACUUGUAACAACAUCUGGAAGAUGAUUAAUUUGUAAGAAGCAGCAUUGCUCAGGCUUAG
rnacentral:misc_RNA from 1 species